AAAUCUCAAAUCACUUCAGACCCUCAAAACAUAUUGACCAAAAAUUGGAGCACUGAAGCCAUUGUUUGCAGUUGGAUCGGAGUUACUUGUGAUUCACGUUACAAUAGGGUUACUCAGCUGAAUAUAUCGUACAUGGGUCUUGUCGGAACCCUCCCACCAGAAAUCGGGAAUCUUUCUUCUCUCGUCUCUUUAGAAGCGAAUCAUAACUCUUUUCAUGGCCCCAUUCCCCCAUCUAUCUUCAACAUGUCAUUUCUAGAAGUUUUGGAUCUACGGAAUAAUAGUUUGUCCAGUAGUUUGCCUCUUGAUAUGUGCAUACACAAUCUGCAUAGACUCAAGUGGCUUCGUAUAUCUUACAAUGAGAUGUAUGGGGAAAUACCAUCGAGUUUGGGGCAGUGUUCACAGCUUGAGUAUCUUUCUUUGUACAAUAACAAUUUCACUGGAUUUGUGCCCAGAGAAAUUGGGAACUUGACGAAGCUUCAAAUAUUGUACCUUGAUGUAAAUAAAUUGACUGGUAAGUUGAUUCCUAUAAUUAUGAGGUCAAAUCAUGCAUUUAAUGCCUUAUUAUUUAAUUCUUUAAUUUGUGUGCUUUGCGUUUGAGAGUCAAAUUUAAACUUUAUAUCGGGUGAUAAGUAAUAUUUUUCCCUAUACGUUUCAAUCUAGAAUUAGCUAGACUAACUUUUUGUGAUUAUUUGGAUAUUUGAAGGAAUUAUUCCACAAGAGAUUCAUCAUCUUCAUAAUUUACGAGAGUUGGACUUGAGUUUGAACAAGUUGUCAGGCACUUUGCCUUCAGAAAUUGGGAACAUGAAAGCACUACAGGAUUUAUACCUUGAAAACAAUGCUUUAAACGGUAAGAUUUCUAACUCUUGUAGAGUUUUACACAUAUUCAAAUGUUUCUUAAUUAAUUUUCAUGUAUAUUUAGCAUUUACAUCCUUUGUGAGAUCUUUAACUUCUCAAAUCUAUAUUUGACUUUUCCACACAGCAUUUACAGCUAUGUUCUUCUCAAAUCAAUAUUGUUCUUUGUCUUCCAUUGAUUAGUGGAAUAAAUAUCAUUAUACUUAAACAGUGUAUAGCUCAAUCUCCCAUCCGAUCAAAUCACGUGUUUUUACUUAUUAUUCUUAUGAUAGUUAUACUGAAGAAUAUGGAACUUGACUUUGAUGACUUCAUUAUUAUCCAGGUACUAUUCCGAAAGAGAUUGGAAAUCUGUAUAAUUUACGGUUUAUGUGGUUGUAUUCUAACAAACUUAGCGGAUCAAUCCCGAGAGAAGUGGGGAACAUGACAGCUCUGGGCAGCUUACACCUCGAGAAUAAUAGUUUAAGUGGUAUCAUUUAUUGUUUCCCUAGCCACAAGUUUAGCUCCUCAAGCUAGCUUGCGAGUUAAUUUAUGUUAUGCAUAAUUUCUCCUCUUUCCAGGUCCAAUGCCUAAAUCCUUGAUCGAUCAAAUGUCAAAGUCUAAAUAAAAAUAACAAUAACUCACUAACAUAAAAUAAAUAGUGUACAUAUCACGUAAACAUUAAAUUCUAUAUAGUAUAUGUUAUCAUACCUUGAGAUGUAUGUGUUUGAUAAAUUAGUAUGACCCCCAAAUUUCUCAAAAAUUAUAAUAAACCUUAUACAAAUAAAUAAUUUUGCGGCCUAAGAAUUUUAUCGAUGAUUAAUGGUAAUUUAUUAAUAUAUCAAUAAAUUAACAACUUUUUAGUUUAUAAAGUAUUUUCUUAAUUUCAGAAAUUACAAUAAAUCAAGUUAUAAUGAGUAAAAACAAAGAGAGUUAAUAUUUAAAUUAAAUAAAUGGAUGUAUCUAUCAAGUCAAUGUGGUUGAUAUUACAGGAGAUCCUAAUGAUGUUCAAGUUGAAGAUGAUUCAACAAUAAAUUCAAAUUAUAAGAAGUUAAAAUAGUAUUCAUAAUUGUAAUAUUUUAAUAAUAUUAUUUUAAUUAUAAUAUUAAUGGGACCUAUAUAUACAAUAAUCUGCAUCGGGUCGGAAUCCAGUCAUCGAGACAGUAAUCAAUAAUUAGAAAAUUUUGACUUUAGGAUGCAAACAUUAAAAGGUUCAUAGGUUAGGGUGAUAAGUACUCCCUCCGUCCACGAAUAAAUACUCAUAUUCUUUUUGUCCGUCGAAAUGUAUCCCACACAAUCCUUUAAUUAAUACUCUUAAAAAGUGGGAUCCUUAUUCUACUCACACUACACUCAAUACAUUGCUUAAAACUCGUGCCGUCCACAAAUGGGUACUCAUUUCGUGGAUAGAGUGAAUAAUAUUUUCCAUGUACGUUUCAAUCUAGAAUUAAACUAACUUUUUUUUGAUGAUUUUAAUAUAUAUUUGUAGGAGUUAUUCCACAAGAGAUUCGUCAUCUUGAUAAUUUACAAGAGUUGGACUUGAGUUCAAACAAGUUGUUUGGCACUUUGCCACCAACCAUUUUCAACAUGUCUUCCUUGACAUUGAUUGACUUAUCAAGUAACACACUUAGCGGGGCAUUGCCUUCAGAAAUUGGGAACAAGAAAGCAAUACUAGAGUUUUUAAACCUUCAAAACAAUUCUUUAACCGGUAAGAUUUCUAACUCUUGUAGGGUUUUACACAUAUUCAAAUGUUUCUUAAUUUUCAUGUAUAUUUAGCAUUUACCGCCAUUGUGAGACCUUUAACUUCUUCUCAAAUCUAUAUUGACUUUUCCAUAUAGCAUUUACAGGUAUGUUUCUGAAAUCUAUAUUGUUCCUUGUCUUCCAUUGAUUAGUGGAAUAAAUAUCAUUAUAGUUAAAUAGUACACAGCUCAAAAUUUCCUCAAGCUAGCUUGCAAGUUAAUUUCUUUUUUUUGGGAUUCCCACAAACUUAGUGGAGCUUUGCACGCACAAAUUUGGAAUAUUAGAACUCUUUGUCGCUCACACCUUUUUAACAUUUAUUUAACUUUUCCGCCAGGUACUAUUCCUAAAGAGAUUGGAAAUCUUCAUAAUUUGCAGGACAUGUGGUUGUAUUCCAACAAACUUAGUGGAUCAAUCCCGAGAAAAGUGGGGAACAUGACAGCUCUUGACCAGUUAGGGCUCGACAAUAAUACUUUAAGUGGUAUGAUUUAUUAUCACCUAGCCACAAGUUUAGCUCCUCAAGCUGGCUUGCGAGUUAAUUUCUUUGUCUCUUAUUUCAUUUGAUCUUCUUUAAUUAUGUUGUCUUAUUUCAUUUCGUGUUGUUAUUUUAUGUUAUGCAUAAUUUCUCCUCUUUUCAGGACCAAUGCCUAAAUCUUUGAUCGAUCAAUUGUCAAAGUCUAAAUAAAAAUAACAAUAACUCACUAACAUAAAAUAAAUAGUGUACAUAUCACGUAAACUUUAAAUUCUAUAUAUNGAUCAUAGACUCCUUCUUUAAGUAGAAAUAAUCCAUGAUUAUCUUGUUGAACUUUAAUGUCGAUCCUUUAAAGAUAAAAAGUCCAUGACAAGCUUGAAGUCUAUCCUUAAUAUGAAAGAAGUCCACAACGAAUAGAUCUUUGAGGAGAGAUUGAAUACUUCAACAAAACCUUGUGCAAAUUUGAAAAGGUAUCUUUUGAGAAUAUUCUGGUACUGACGGUAUCACAUCAGGUAGCUCUGAUGGUAUCAAUUGAUAGCAAAAUGUCUAUAGAAAUGACGACAACAUAACAGAGUAAACAAUACUCUAACAAAUAUCAUUAUACUUAAAUAGUAUACAUACAGCUCAAUCUCCCAACCGAUUGAAUCGUAUAAUUUUACUUAUUAUUGUUAUGAUCGUUAUACUUAACAAUAUGGAACUUGACUUAAUUUGAUGACUUCAUUAUUCUCCAGGUACUAUUCCGAAAGAAAUUGGAAAUCUUCAUAAUUUGAGGUGGAUGUGGUUGCAUUCUAAUAAACUUUGCGGAUCAAUUCCGAGAGAAGUGUGGAACAUGACAGCUCUGGGCAGCUUACACCUCGGCUAUAAUAGUUUAAGUGGUAUCAUUUAUUAUCAUCUAGCCACAAGUUUAGCUCCUCAAGCUAACUUGCGAGUUAAUUUCUUUUUCUCAUAUUUCAUAUGAACUUCUUUAAUUAUGUGGUAUGUUGUCUUUGGAGUUGGUAGGGGUCAUUCAUUGUGUUGUUGUUUUAUAUUAUUCAUGAUUUCUCCUCUUUUCAGGUCCAAUACCAUCUACCAUUGGAAACCUAUCACGUUUAUGGCACUUAAAUCUUGCUUCCAACAAAUUCAGUGGUGAGUUUCCAUCCUCCAUCAGCAACUUGACAUAUUCUUUGAAAUACUUAAUCUCUAGUACAUAACAGUUUGGAAGGUUUUCGAAACUUUAGCAAAUCUUUGAUGAUCUUUCGUUUAAACACAAACCAAUUUAGUGGUAUUAAAUUGCAAGGACCAUCAACAUUUACCAAUGGUAGUAAUCCUUUUCAGUCAUUUUUUUAGGGGAUCUUUUCCGGUCAAUUUAAGUGGUAAUAAAUUGCAAGCAACAUUACCUAAAUCUUUGAUCAAUUGUCAAAGUCAUAUAGUUGUGUAUUUCACAAAUUUAUAAAUGACUUUUCCAUAUAGUAUUCAUUAGGUCUAGUAAGAAAUCUGUUGAAAUUAAAUAUACUAUAUUUAGAAAUAAUGCAAUACAUUCGCCAUUAUGUUAAACAAGAUGUUGAACUUUAUGUAUACCAAUGUAAAUGUCUAGUUCAAAUUACAGACAAAAGCUUAUAUAGAUUAAAAUUGUCGAUGUUGGUAAAAUGCUUUGUGCUUUUUUAGAUAUAAAGAAAUUUGAUUCAUAUCAUUCUCUAUCUUUCCAAUAAUAUAUCUGAAGGCCUCGUACCAACUUUCAGGUCAAAUACCAUCCUCCAUUUGUAACUUGACAUCCCUUGAGUAUCUUGUUCUCUCAAACAACACUUUGGAUGGAUCAAUUCCACAAUGCUUUGGAAACUUGAGCUCUUUGGCCAUCUUUCAUUUAAAUGAAAAUCAGUUUAAUGGUCUCAUUCCAUCAACAUUUAGCAAGGGGUGUAUCUUGGUCAUAAUUUGAAUGUAAUAAAUUGCAAGGACCAUUACCUAAAUCCUUGAUCAAUUGCCGAAGUCUACAAGGCCUCGACGUUGGAAAUAAUAGAAUAAAGACGAAUUUCCCUUUUGGAUGGAACCUUCCAGACCUUCGAGUGUUGGUCAUGAGGUCUAACAUGUUUUAUGGCAACAUGUCACUUCCUUCACAAACCAAGAUUCCAUUUGCUAAUUUGCAAGUUUUAGAUAUAUCUCGGAAUAGAUUAGUGGGAUCUCUACCUCAAAGAUAUUUCAAGAAUUUUAAAGCAAUGAUAGAGGAAAAUGAGACAAUCACAUCAAAUGAAUUUGAAAAUUAUGUGGAGAUGAGGCUCACCUUGAAAGGUUUGGAUCAAUUAUUACAGAGAUUGUUGUCAGCCUUUACAACAAUUGACUUAUCCUCCAAUAGGUUUUCUGGGAGUAUUCCACAUUCCAUAGGAAAUCUUAAGAUUCUCAAAUACUUAAAUUUGUCCCACAAUAACCUCAUCGGAAAUAUACCUCCAUCUCUUGGAAAUAUGAAUGAACUUGAGUCCUUGGACUUGUCAGUGAACAAGUUGAAUGGAGAAAUUCCAAGUGAAUUGACAAGGUUGACAUUUCUUGCGAAAUUAAACCUUUCAAUGAAUAAUCUUGUGGGGCGAAUACCACAGUCUAAGCAGUUUUCCACAUUUGAGAAUGAUUCAUAUGUGGGAAACUUGGAACUGUGUGGAGUUCCGUUCACGAGAAAAUGCAACAAGGAGAAGGGACAACGGCCAGAAGAAGAAGAAGAUGAUGAUGAUGAUGAUGAGUCUGGAUUUAUAGAUGGAUUUGGUUGGAGAAGUGUGGUGAUGGGAUAUGGAAGUGGAUUCAUAGUGGGAAUUGGAAUUGGUUACAUUAUUAUUAGAAAUGGAAGGCCCAGAUGGUUAGCUGAAUUCUUUUUUGGCGUUGGAUAUAAUUAUAAGAUGAAGAAGAGAUGCAGCAAUGCUACACCAACACGCCGCAGGAGAACUUAAUUGAAGCCCAAAAGAAUUCAUUUGUUCUUCAGUUGGUGUGUUUUGGUCGAUUUGAACUUUGGAGUUUAUGAAAUAUUGUUGUAUGUUCGAAUUUGCGAAGUUUUAAUUUUAUCUUGUUUCGAUAUAUUUUUUAGAUUAAAUCAGUUUUGUGAUUUUAUUUGGUAAAUUUUUAGAUUUGUUAAAAAUGACUUAGUUUUAGUGACAUAGAACACUUGAUUGUCCACGCUAAUAAUUUUUUUAGAUCAUUCUGUUUGAGCAGAUUUUUGCACGCCUACGAACUGUUUGAUAAAAGUCCGAAAUGAAUUCUCGGAGUUGUUCAGGUUAACGCAUAAUUCGCUCACCAAAGCUAACGCAUACUUUUAACAAUUUAAAUAGAUAUUUAUUGGGAAAAUUCUUAAAUCAAAUGAUAGUAUUUAGUUAAAUAAAUAUAUAUUUACAAUUUCUUAAUUUCCUAUAACAUGCCCAACAUAUUCUACCCGAGUUGACGCUACAUUAAAUGUAAACACUUUUAGGAGCUUAUAAGCUCUUGAUGAUGUUUGACAAAAUGAGCUAUUACACAACUUAUAAGGUAACCAAGAGUAUGGUAUUCCGUGUGCGUGUGUUGCCAAGCAGUAAGAGCUUAAUGCCUAAGGCCAAAAGUCUUGGAUUCGAGUCCCUUGUGGCGCGACCUUUUAAAUUUCUUUAUUUAUAAAAAAUAAGAUUUAAGUUAUUGCACCUAAAUAAUUUUUUGAUAAAUUCAAAAAGAACUUCUUAUUUUUUAAAUCUUAUAAGCAACAUUUAUUUUAUAAAAGUUACCCUACUAUUAUUUUUUAUUUCUAUCAUAUACUCUUUCAAUUUUAUAUCCCUAACUUUGUCGAUAUUAAACUCAUCAUUUUCUGCAUCAAAAAUCACCAAAUUAUAUAUUAAAUUACAUUAAAGCACAAAAUAAUCUAAGAAUAUGAGCAACUCAAAUACACACUUUAAGUUUCAAAUUAUCUUACCCAGGAUGCCAUAUCGUAUCUCAACUUCCUCCUCUUUCUCAUAAAACAACUUUGUUUUGACUAUUCCGCCACUUACUUCUUAUUUUAUACAAGUAAACAACUUUGUUUUCUUUUAAGGGGUGCCUUUACUUUGGUGUUAAAAUUUUCAUUGGAAAAUGAUGGAUAAGAAAAGAUGAGAAAAUAUUAUUUUUUCUUCUUUUUUUAUGUUAUGUUUAUUAGAGAUGAAAAGAUGAGAGAGUAUUGGAGAGAAAAAAAUGUGAAAAUGAGCUGCCCAAGAAAAUAUUUGAUUCUGCCCGGAGAAAAUUUUACAUUAUAGUAAAUAUAUGAAAACGGUGAAAAAUAUGUGAAAAUAUAUUUUUUUUCUCUCAUUUUCCAUCAAAGUAAACGCACCCUAACAGGUAACUGUGAUUCACGUUAUAGUAGACAAACUCAUUUAAAUAUCUCGCACAUGGAACUAGAAAUCAAAAAUCAUUCUUGCAUAAUUGAGUUUGGGUCAAUGUUCACAACUUGACUUGUGCCUACACAAAUUGGCAGCAUCAUGUGUGACACACAUUUUGUCUUUUUCUUCAGCAAAGUCCAUUCAUUACUGAAGCUUCUUAAUUUCAUUUUUCAUUUGUGGGACCCAAAAAAUGCGGCUAUAUUUGUAGUAGUUUCAUUUUCACUCGCUUUUGCCUCCAAAACUCUUAUUUUCUUCUUAAUUCUUUGCCCCAUUCACACUCCAACUUAAUUAAUUAAAAAUUGAUUGGAGAAAUUCAUACAUUUUUGCCGUAGGACUUGGGAAAGAUUAUUUUUAGAUUUCAAUAUAAACAGCACAACUACAAUAUUAGCACUCUGCAUUCACAAUAUGAAGAGAGUUUCCACAUUUUUCCUACUUUCCCUACUCAUGGGGUUUUCUUGCCUUAGCCUUGCUAACACAGAUCAAAUCAAAAGUGAUGAAUCAUCACUUCUUGCCUUCAAAUCCCGCAUCACUUCAGAUCCUUCCAAUAUUUUUAAAAAUAAUUGGACCACCGGAACCUCUAUCUGCACGUGGAUGGGAGUUACUUGCGAUUCACGUUAUAGUAGGGUGACUGCUUUAGAUCUCUCGAAUAUGAGACUCGAAGGCAGCAUCCCACCAGAAAUCAUAAAUCUUUCUUUUCUUGUUUCUCUAGAUUUGAGUGUGAACUCUUUUCAUGGUCCCCUACCAAAGGAUAUUUGCAGGCACAACAACCUUCGAAGACUCAAAGAACUUUACUUGUACUCCAACAAAUUGAAGGGGGAGAUACCAUUGAGCUUGGGUGAAUGUCCACAACUUGAGAUUAUUGACUUGUCAGACAACAACUUUGGUGGACAUGUGCCUGCACAAAUUGGGAACAUCACACAGCUUAAGGAAUUACGCCUUAGUUGGAACAAUUUGACAGGUAUGGUCUUAUCUCAAUAAUGAGAAUUUAACUCGUUCGAGUUUUAAAAAAAAUUAGGCCACUAUUUUAGGGUGUGGUUUGAAAAAAUAGGCCAAUUUUUUCGAACUUGCAAAAAUAGGUCAAUUAUUUUAAAUUUUGACGUCCGUAAGCCACAUUUGAUUCUAAUCGGGCUAUUUAGGGCCAAAUAUGGCCUAUUGAUGCCGAAUUGGGGCAAAUGUGGCCAAAGAUGCUAAAAUUUAAAGUAAUUGACCUAUUUUUGCAAGUUCAAAAAAUAUUGACCUAUUUUUUUGCAAAUCGUUAUAAGAUAGUGACUGCAAAAAAUUUUAAACUCAACUGGUUUGAUCCCACUUUUCCGUUUCUAUUGGGAUUUCAUGAAAUGACUUGAUGAUAUAUGCCAUUCAGUUUCGUAUCUGACUUUACUCAAGACGUUCUAAAGUUCCAACUUUUCAAAGAAUUUUCAAAAAAUUAAUUAAGAGAAACUCCCAAGACAUUUUAGUUUACUCAGAAAAUUUGAAAACCACAUUUCCCCAACUUUUACUUGGUGAAAACAUGACUAAACAAUAAGGCUAAAAACAAGGAUUUUUACUUAUAGUUUGUCCAGAUACAUUCAAAGUGAAGUUUCUUAGCUUCGAUCUACGUACUUAAAUCUUAACCAAAUUUCAAUCAACUUCAUUCCAUACAUUCAUAAACAUAAUAGAUACAAGAUUUCAACAACUUCCUUCAAAAAUUAUGAAAUCAAGAUGCACAAAUCUUGCAAUUCUUACAUCUUCACACAUGUUUCUCAUAUCAUAUUGAAACUCAUACUUUCAUCUCCCAACCAAUCGAACCACGUAUUUCACUUAAUAUUGUUAUGAUGGUUAUACUUAACAAUAUGGAACUUGACUUUGAUGACUUCAUUAUUCUCCAGGUACUAUUCCGAAAGAGAUUGGAAAUCUUCAUAGUUUACAGAUCAUGCGUUGGGUUCCAACAAACUUAGCGGAUCAAUCCCGAGAGAAGUGUGGAACAUGACAGCUCUUAGCAGCUUACUGCUCGACAAUAAUAGUUUAAGUGGUAUGAUUUAUUGUUUCCCUAGCACAAGUUAGUUCCUCAAGCUAGCUCGUGAGUUAAUUUCUUUUUGUUGAUGUAUUUGGAUAUUUGUAGGAGUCAUUCCACAAGAGAUUCACCAUCUUCAUAAUUUACAAUGGUUGGCCUUGAGCUUGAACAAGUUGUCGGGCACUUUGCCAUCAUCAAUUUUCACAUGUCUUCCUUGACAGUGAUUCGCUUAUCAAGAACAUGUUUAGCGGGGCAUUGCCUUCAGAAAUUGGAAACAACAAGACAACAGCACUACAUGUUUUACACCUUAAAAACAAUACUUUAAGUGGUAAGAUUUCUAUCUCUUGGAGAUAUAGCAUUUACAGCUAUUGUGAGACCUUUAAGUUCUCAAAUCUAUAUUUGACUUUUCCAUAUAGCUGGUACGAGUCAUAUAUUGUGUUGUUAAUUUAUAUUAUGCAUAAUUUCUUCUCUUUUCAGGGCUAUUACCAUCUACUAUUGGAAACCUAUCAAGUUUGUACUACUUAAAUCUUGGUUCCAACAAGUUUAAUGGUGAGCAUUCAUCCUCCAUCUGCAACUUGACAUAUAUAGAGUAAAAUAGUCGAUUUUAGUAAGAUAUUGCUCUGUGCAUUUAUAUCUACUUAUCUAUUAUAUGAAUAUUUAUUUUUAUUCCAACACAGUUACAUAAACAUAUCAAAUAAAAUUAGUGGCAUGUCAUCAUCAUACUUAAUAAUUACAUAUAGCUCAAUCUCCUAACUAAAUCAUGCAUUUUACUUAGUAAUGUUAUUUUACUUAGUAAUUUAUUAUUCGGACACAAGUUUAGUAGUAACAUGUUGACUUGUAGUUGGUAGCUAGGAGUCAUACAUUGUGUUGUUAUUUUAUGUCAUGCAUAUUUUAUCCUCCUUUCAGGUCCAAUACCAUCUACCAUUGGAAACCUAUCAAAUUUGUACUACUUGAAUCUUGGUUCUAACAAAUUUCAUGGUGAGCUUUCAUCUUCCAUCUGCAGCAUGACAUUCCUUGAAAUACUUUUACUCUCUAGUAUAUAAUAGUUUUGAAGAAUCAAUUGCACAAGGUUUUCGAAACUUUAGCAAACUUUGAAUUUCAUUUAAACAAACCAGUUUAGUUGCCUCAUUCCAUCAACAUUUACCUAAAGAAUUUUAUGUGGUAAUAAAUUGCAAGGACCAUUACCUAAAUCCUUGAUCAAUUGCAAAAGUCUACAAGCAAUUUUAUUGGAUAGAUAUAUUUAUUUAUAAGCCCUAUCAAAUAGCUAUAAAUAUAUAUCAAAUAGAUUUAGUGUAAUAUUUAAUGAAUUAAUAUAUUUUUAUAAAUAUAUAAUAUUUUAUUUAUAAAAUUACCCUUAAAAUAAAAUAUGUAAUAAGAAUAUAAUAUGCAAUCUAUAUUUUAUGCCCAAAACACUUUUUAUAUUAGUAUAGAUAAAGAAAUUUGAUUUUUAUCCUUUUAUGUCUUUCAAAUAGUAUGUUUGUUACCAACUUUCAGGUCAAUUACCAUCUACCAUUGUGAAUAUUCUACCAUUGAAUUUUCUGCAACUCUCUUCCAACAAAUUAAUCGGAGAGAUUCCACUCUCCCUCUGUAACAUGACAUCCCUUCGGUAUCUUCUUCUCUCAACAAACAAUUUGGAAGGAAUAAUUCCACAAUGCUUUGGAAACUUCAGCUAUUUGGCCAUCUUUCAUUUAAAUGAAAAUAAGUUUAGUGGUCUCCUUCCAUCAACAUUUAGCGAGAGGUGUAGUCUUGUUUCCAUCAAUUUGAAUGGUAAUAAAUUGCAAGGACGAUUACCUAAAUCCUUGAUCAAUUGCGAAAGCCUACAAGCACUCGACAUCGGAAAUAAUAGAAUACAAGAUGAAUUUCCUCUCUGGAUGGAUGUCCUUCCAGACCUUCGAGUGUUGGUCUUGAAGUCUAACAAGUUUUAUGGGAACAUAUCACUUCCUUCACAAACCAAGAUUUCAUUUCCUAAUUUGCUAAGUUUUAGAUAUAUCUCGGAAUAGAUUCGUGGGUUCUUUGCCUCAAAUAUAUUUCAAGAAUUUCAGAGCAAUGAAAGAGGAAAAUGAGAAAAUCACAUCAAAUGAGAUUGAAAAUUAUGUGGAGAUGAGGCUCACCUUGAAAGGUCUGGAUCAAUUAUUACGGAGAUUGUUGUCGGACUUUACAACAAUUGACUUAUCCUCCAAUAGGUUUUCUGGGAGUAUUCCAAAUUCCAUAGGAAAUCUUAAAUUUCUCAAAUACUUGAAUUUGUCCCACAAUAACCUCAUAGGAAAUAUACCUUCGUCACUUGGAAAUAUGAAUGAACUUGAAUCCUUGGACUUGUCAGUGAACAAGUUGAAUGGAGAAAUCCCAAGUGAAUUGACUAGGUUGACAUUUCUUUCAACAUUAAACCUUUCAAUGAAUAAUCUUGUUGGACAAAUACCACAAUCUACUCAGUUUUCCACAUUUGAGAAUGAUUCAUAUAUGGGAAACGGGGGAUUGUGUGGACUUCCAUUGACCAAACAAUGCAAUGAGGAGAAUGGGCAGCAGAUGCAGCUAGAAGAAGAUGAUGAUGAUGAAGAUGAUAAGUAUGGAUUUAUAGAUGGGUUUGGAUGGAGAAGUGUGGUGAUGGGAUAUGGAAGUGGAUUCAUAGUUGGGAUUGGAAUUGGUUACAUUAUUAUUAGAAAUGGAAGGCCAAGAUGGUUAGUGGAAUUCUUUUUUGGAGUUGGAUAUAAUUAUAAGAUGGAGCUGAGACGUAGCAGAGCUACACCAACACCAACAACACGCGGGAGAACUUAAUUGAAGCCCAAAUCAAUUGUGUGCUUUACUUGUGCCGAUUUGUGUUUUCUUUUAUCUUUUUUACGUUUUGAAUUGCUACUUAGUGUGUUUUUCUCGAUUUCAACUUUAGAGUUUAUGAAAUGUUGUUGUAUAUUCGAAUGUGUUAAGUUUUAGUUUCAUCUCGUUCUCAUUUUGAUCUAGUUGACAACUAGAUCAUUGUGUUGGAACUCUCUUUUAACAUAAAACCGGUGUCUUUUAAGUGAUGUGUAUAAGAGAUUUUGCUGUAGCGGUAAAAGAAGUUUAAUCGGGUUUUUGGAGAGCUUCUAUUCAGGUAUAAAAUAAUACUUCAUCCGUCCACAAAAAAUAAUCAUAGAAGGAGAUGACACGGGUUUUAAUAAAAAUAGUUGAGUGUAUUAAUUGUAAAUGGAGAAAAGGUCCUACUUCAUUACCUUAAAUUUUCACAUUUUUUUGCCACUCUCAAUAUUUUCAAUAAUUUUUUCUCCACUCUCAAUAUAUUCAACAACUUUAUUUCUCCACUCUCUAUAGAAUCUAACUACUUAACUAGAUAAAUAAAAAUAAUAAUAACAAUGACUCACUAACAUAAAAUAAACAAGGUACAUAUCACGUAAACUUUAAGUUCUAUAUAUAUGUUAUCAUACUAUAGUUAUAAUAAACCUUAUACAAAUAAAUAAUUUUGGGACCUAAGAAUUUUAUCGAUGAUCAAUCGUAAUUUAUUAAUGUAUCGAUAAAUUAACAACUUUUUAGUUUAUAAAGUAUUUUCUUGAUUUCAGAAAUUAUGAUUAAAUCAAGUUAUAAUGAGUAAAAAUAAAGAGAGACAAUAUUUAAAUUAAAUAAAUAGAUGUAUCUAUCAAGUUAUUGUGGUUGAUAUUACGGGAGAUCAUAAUGAUGAUCAAGCUGAAGAUGAUUCAACCACAAAUUCAAAUUGUAUAAAGAUAAAAUAGUAUUCAUAAUUGUAAUAUUUUAAUAAUAUUAAUGGGGCCUAUAUAUGCAAUAAUAUUGUGCAUCGGGCCGGAAUCCAGUCAUCGAGACAUUAAUCAAUAAGAAAAUUUUGACUUUAGGACGCAAAACAUUAAAAGGAUCAUAGGUUUGGGUGAUAAGUAAUAUUUUCCAUAUAUGUUUAAAUCUACCAUUAAACUAACUUUUUGUGAAGUUUUGGAUAUUUGUAGGAAUUAUUCCACAAGAGAUACAUCAUCUUGAUAAUUUAGGAGCUAGUGUUGGACUUGAGUUUGAACAAGUUGUCAGGCACUUUGCCACCAACCAUUUUCAACAUGUCUUCCUUGAUUGAUAUGGAUUGACUUAUCAAGUAACACACUUAGCGGGGCAUUGCCUUCGGAAAUUGGGAACAUGAAAGUAGCACUAGCGUUUUUAAACCUUCAAAACAAUGCUUUCACUCUUAUAGAGUUUUACACAUAUUCAAAUGUUUCUUAAUUUUUAUGUAUAUAUUGGAUUUACAGCCAUUGUGAGACCUAUGUACUUCUUCUCAAACCUAUAUUUGACUUUUCCAUAUAGCAUUUACAACUAUGUUCUUCUCAAAUCUAUAUUGUUCUUUGACUUUCAUUGAUUACUGGAAUAAAUAUCAUUAUACUUAAAAUAGUAUACAGCUCAAUCUCCCAACCAAUCGAAUCACGUAUUUUACUUAUUAUUCUAAUGAUCGUUAUACUAAACAAUAUGAAACUUGACUGAUGACUUCAUUAUUCUCCAGGUACUAUUCCGAGUGAAAUUGGGAACAUGGAAGCACUACAAUUUUUAUACCUUGGAAACAAUGGUUUAACCGGUAAGAUUUCUUAUUGUUGUAGGGUUUUAAACCUAUUCAACAUGUUUAUUUCCAAUUGGAACCAUUUUCAGCACGCUUGUCUCCUUAUCCAAAAAGCAUAUAUAAUUACGGAGCUCGGUGAACUUUUUUGUACGAUUUAUUGUUCUUUGUCUUCCAUUGAUUAGUGGAAUAUACUCCCUCCGUCCACCAAUUGAUAUCCUAUUUUCCUUUUUGGUCCGUGCACUAAUUUAUGUUCUACCCAUUUAUAGUAACUCUUUAUAAUUUUUUAAUUGGUGGGUUCCAAUAAACAAUACAAUUUUUCUCCACUCAACUAAUAAACAAUACACUUUGUGGGUCCCUUUGUCCACGCAACUAAUAAAUAAUAUAUUUUGUGGGUCCCUUUCUCCACUCACUACACUUUUUCUUAAAACCCGUAUUUCCUCCCCUACGUCAUAAAUUAGUGGACGGAGAGAAUAUAUCAUUAUACUUAAUACUAUACAGCUCAAUCUCCCAACCCAUUACUAGUUGUGUUUUUCACAAAAUGUCUAGUUUAAAUAACAGACAAAUGUUGGUAAAAUGCUUUGUGCAUUUUUAGAUAUAAAGAAAUUUGAUUCAUAUCCUUCUCUAUCUUUCAAAUAAUAUAUUUGAAGGUCUUGUACUAACUUUCAGGUCAAAUACCAUCAACCAUUGGGAAUAUUCUACCAUUGAUUGUUCUACAACUCUAUUCCAACAAAUUAAUCGGUGAGCUUUCAUCCUCCAUCUAUAACUUGACAUCUCUUGAUGCUCUUGUUCUCUCAAAUAUCACCUUGGAAGGAACAAUUCCACGAUGCUUUGGAAACUUGAACUCUUUGACCAUCUUUCAUUUAAAUGAAAAUCAGUUUAGUGGUCUCAUUCCAUCAACAUUUAGAGAGGUGUGUAAUUUUGUGUCCAUCAAUUUGAAUGGUAAUAAAUUGCAAGGAACAUUACCUAAAUCCCUGAUCAAUUGCGGAAGUCUACGAAGCCUCGACGUUGGAAAUAAUAGAAUACAAGAUGAAUUUCCCUUCUGGAUGGAAGUCCUUCCACAGCUUGAAGUGUUGGUCUUGAGGUCUAACAAGUUUUACGGUAACAUGUCACUUCGGGCUAAUUGCCGCUAAAUCCAUGUACUUUUUCAAUUUUUGAUUUUUUCUCAUGGCAAAAAAAAAUCUACUUUAAAAUCCAUGAAUUGCAAAAUUGAUUGGAAAUUUCCCCCGCAUCCGAUUUCCGGCCAUCAGCGAAAUGAGUCAGAUCCUAUGUGGCGAAAUUCAUUCCGGGUGUUAAGUUUAAUGAAUGACAUGGACGCCACAUAAGAUUUUAAAAACUGAAAAAAAUUAUAGGAAAUCUUAAGAUUCUCAAAUACUUGAAUUUAUCCCAGAAUAACCUCAUUGGAAAUAUACCUUCAUCUCUUGCAAAUAUGAGUGAACUAGAAUCUUUGGACUUGUCAGUGAACAAGUUGGAUGGAGAAAUUCCAAGUGAAUUGACAGGGUUGACAUUUCUUGCGAAAUUAAACCUUUCAACGAAUAAUCUUGUGGGGCAAAUACCACAAGCCCAAAAGAAUUGUUAAACUGGGGCCUUCUGGCUCCGCCAUUGGUUACAACAAUACAACAGACUUCGUUGUCAACUUCGUUUUUGGCUUUAUAAGAUACUAGCUAGUAACCUGUUGAAAUUUGAUGGAGUAUUAUUUUUUUUGUAAUGAAUUUAUCUUUACAUAACUUUUGAAAUUAAUUUAAUUUAAUGUAAUAGAGUUCAAAUUAUAUUAAUCUCAACCACCUAUAUAAAUCAAAUCUUAAUAUUUUGUUGGGAGAAUAGAAAUGUUAUUUUAUACUAUAAGUUUUUAUUUGAUUAAGUUUUGUAAAAGGUCGAUGUGGAAUUGAAAAUUUUAGAAAAAUGAGAAGAAAAAAGUGUGUAAAUUAGAUGGAUGAUAUGACAGAGGGAUUGGUUGUGCCACAUUGGUUGUUAAUUGUAUAUAGACAACUUAUGUGUGUAUUUUAGUUGUUCAAUAUUCUUGAAUUUUUUGGCUUUAAUGAAAUUUAAUAUACACAAUUAGGUUAGGUUGUUUUUUUUUUUUUGUACAGGAAUUGAAGAGAUCAAUGUCAACUGAAUCGAAUGAAUGAUGAAGAGCUAAUGUUGGGCUACAAAGCCUACAAUGUUGAUUAGUCUUACUUCCUUGUUCGUUUGGGAUUCUAGUGACAUUAUAGAGAUAAGCUUUUACUUUUUAUGCAUAAGAGGAAUAGUUUCUGCAUCUGACAUGGUUAUUCGUUUGGGAUUCUAGUGACAUUAUUCUGGUUUGUAUCUUCAAUUUAGUAGAUUGUUAGUUAUGCUUUCUUUGUUCAAUUUAAUUAUGUUUUAUUUCGAUAGCAUGAGUAGCAAAUUUAUUAAUUCAGUGAGUAUAAUGAAACACUAGUCUAAAAUCUGUGACCUAAUUGUUUUAUUGAUUGAUACAAUUGGAUGAAUUAUUUACAUCUCAAUCAGAAGAAGCUUUUAGUUUAAGCAGGGAUAUUCGUGCUUAUAAUAGAAUAUUGUCAUUUACUUCGUUCAGUGUAAAAUUGGAUAAAGAACUCGCAUCUGUAAGACGAAGAGUUUAUUCUUUACAAGCACAAGGAAUGGUUUAUCAUGAUCUUCCUGAAUUGAUCCACAAUAUACAUGUAUUUUCAAUAAUACUUUUACGACACACAAAGUGAGGUUGAGGACCGAAUUAACAUAAGAUGCACGUAGAAAUUUUAGAGUUCAACAUGUAUGAAAAAUUCUUACAAAUUAAUUUAUGUAAGAAUUUACUGGUGUUUUUGAUAAAAUUAUUUGAAUUUGAAUAAAUUUCCUCGUUACCAAGAGCUUAUUAUUAUUAUUAUUAUUAUUAUUAUUAUUAUUAUUAUUAUUAUUCAAAAUAACUCGAAUUCAAAUUGCAACAAUUGCUCUAUUUUAAGGGGGCAGUUGCGUAGAGCUUGGUUUUAGAUUGCAAAGUGUGAAUUACCCUUUAUUAUAUCUUAUUCAAAGACACAAAAAGGGGGAUUUAAAGUCUCCCAAAUCUAUUAUAAAAAUAGAGAAUAUAUUCUACUUUUGCAUGUUAUUCUACCACUUCAAAUAAACAAACAGGUUUUGUUGUUUAUUCAACUGACGUAGCCCUCUGAUCACGGCCAAAACUUAUAAUGCUAUUUUAAUAUGAAUAUUAGGGUCAUUUUUUAAGAUUUGGGUUAGACUCAAUCUCCCAAAUCGAACAGAAAGUAGCUUUCCAUAUAAAUAGUCUUAGUUGCUUUUGCCUCCAAAAAUCACUCUUUAUAGUUCCACAAUUAUUUUCUUCGUCUUUCCAAUGGGAAAAAUAUUAUUUUAGCUUUGAAUAAAAGGAAACUCUGCAUUUCCUACUUUCAUCANAACAGGCUCGAGCUCGAUUCGUUUAAAUAUUCAGGUGUCUGAACGUGAUUCGAACUUUUAUCUUGUUAAUCGAGUUUAGCUCGUUACUCACUUACCGAGCUCAAGCUCAGUUCGAAUUCAGCUCAUGUGAUACUCAAUAAUAUCGAAUUCGAGCUUAAGCUCGAGCUCGAACUCGAUGUGUUUAAAGUUUGUGUACUAACUCAAUUGAAGGUUCGUGAAUAAACUCGCAAAUAUAUUCGUGAUUAAUCGCAUUUGAAUAUGUUCGCAAGCUAAACGAGCCGAGUGCUGCCAAGUUUGAGCUCGGUUCAAAAAAAUUAUCGAGCUCAAAAUCAAGCUCAAACUUGUUUACUAUCAAACCGAUCAAGUUUGGGAUCAUAUUCAGCAAUGGCUCAACAUCAAAACGGCAAAGCCACAAGGUCUCUUUCAACAUUUUUUGUCUUUUACUUAUGGUGGCAAAGGUAAGAAAAUCAGAAAAUUUUUGAAAGCUUUAUUGGUUGGAACAAUUUGGCUGCUGUGGAGUUAUAGAAAUGAAAGUAGGUUUGAAGGAAAGGAGUGGGAUCCACAAAAACUUGUGUUGGAGGUUAAAGGUAGACUUUGGAGCUGGAACAAGACUUUCCAAAUGGUGGAAGUGAAUGUUCCGUUUUCUUUGUGGUGCUCCCAAGAGUACACACUCCCCUUUUUGUAACUGUUUUGGUACUACUGAUACCGAGUUUUUCAAUAUAUUGCACUUUUAUUGAUAAAAAAAAAAAAGUUGAGUCUCGAAUAGAUCGCGGGUAGCUCUAUUUAUUUAUAAUCCUAACCGUUGGUGUUAAUGUUUGACGGUGAUACAUAUAUGCACGAAAGGACCAAGAAAAUAUUGGCCGGCGACUGACUUAUCUCACUCCCCACCUAAUUCGGCUUCCACGCGGCCUUCAAUCAACUCAAAUUACUACUUAGUAGUGCCACCCACCUUUCCCUUGACCUUCUCACGCAAAUCUAUACUAAUAGAAAAAGAGCCUAAGCAUUUUAUGGGACAACUUGUGGAUUGCCUAUUUUACCCCUAUUAUUUAUUUUGUAUUAUAUAUUUAUAAAAUCAAUCUAUUUGAUAUAUAUUUAUUUGUCACCCAAAUCUAUAAAUAAUAUUUUAUAUUAUAAAACCAAACAUAUACAUAAAAUCGUUGUCAAAUUAAUUAGAUAAAAAAUUUCUUCUCUACUUAGGUCCAAUAUUGAUGUUUCCCUCAUCUAAUCUAAUUAUAAUUUCUAAAUAAAUCCCUAAUAUAAUUGGUAUUUACAUCACAAUUCUUUUUUCCCUAAAAGAAGUUCAUCAAUUAAACCAACGAUCAAGGGGAUUCCAAUAUCUUAUCGCAUUAGAAUUCUAUUUAAUUUAUUACAUAUUUUAUUUUAAGGUUUUUUACAGAUUAUAUAUUUAUAAGAAUAUAUUAUUAUUAAUAUACACUAAAUCUAUGUGUAUAUAUCUAUAGCUAUUGAUAAGGCUUAUAAAUAAAUAUAUUCAAUCCAAUAAAAUUUAUUAAUGAAAGUAAUAAAUUAAUAAUUUUCUAAAAUAAUAGAUUAUUAAAUAAAAUAACAUUAAUUACACGUACAACGUACGUUCUUUCUGCUAGUUACUCAAAAUGACUCGAAUAUUCAAAUUGCAACAAUUGCUCUAUUUUCAGGGGGCAAUUGCGUAGAGCUUGGUUUUAGAUUGCGAAGUGUGAAUUACCCUUUAUUAUAUCUUAUUCAAAGAUCACAAAAAGGGGGAUUUAAAGUCUCCCAAAUCUAUUAUAAAAAUAGAGAAUAUCUUCUACUUUUGCAUGUUAUUCUACCACUUCAAAUAAACAAACAGGUUUUGUUGUUUAUUCAACUGACGUAGCCCUCUGAUCACGGCCAAAACUUAUAAUGCUAUUUUAAUAUGAAUAUUAGGGUCAUUUUUUAAGAUUUGAGUUAGACUCAAUAUCCCAAAUCGAACAGAAAGUAGCUUUCCAUAUAAAUAGUCUUAGUUGCUUUUGCCUCCAAAAAUCACUCUUUAUAGUUCCACAAUUAUUUUCUUCGUCUUUUCCUCAUUCACACUCCAAUUAAUUAUUUUCUCCGGCUUCGUCGCUCCAAUGGGAAAAUAUUAUUUUAGCUUUGAAUAAAAGGAAACUCUGCAUUUCCUACUUCAUCAUUAAUCCUUCCCAUUUGCCCAUCAUAUCCACACACACUCUAUAUAUACAUGUAUAUGGAUUUCAUAGUUCAAUAUUCUAAAAAAUUACUACUGUCAAAAUCAAGCCAAAAAAUGCCAAAAUCUCCCCAUUUUCUCAUCCUUGCACUACUCUUACCAAUCCAUUAUUUGAUGGAUUAUAGCUCAGCCAAAACCGAUAUCAACACCGAUCGUUCUUCACUUCUUGCCUUGAAAUCUCAAAUCACUUUAGAUCCUCAAAAUAUAUUGACCCAAAAUUGGAGCACUGAAGCCAGUGUUUGUAGUUGGAUAGGAGUUACUUGUGAUUCACACUACAAUAGGGUGACUAACUUGAAUAUAUCGCACAUGGGUCUUGUCGGAACCCUCCCACCAGAAAUCGGGAAUCUUUCUUUCCUCGUCUCUUUAAAUGCGAGUCAUAACUCUUUUCAUGGCCCCAUUCCCCCAUCUAUCUUCAACAUGUCAUUUCUAGAAGUUUUGGAACUAAAGAAUAAUAGUUUGUCUAGUAGUUUACCUCUUGAUAUGUGCAUACACAAUCUGCAUAGACUCAAGAGGCUUCGUAUAUCUUACAACGUGUUGUAUGGGGAAAUACCAUCGAGUUUGGGGCAGUGUUCACAGCUUGAGUAUCUUUCUUUGUACAACAACAAUUUCACUGGAUUUGUGCCGAGAGAAAUUGGGAACUUGACCAAGCUUCAAGAGUUGUACCUUGGUGAAAAUAAGUUGACUGGUAAGUUCAUUCCUAUAUUUAUGAGGUCAAAUCAUGCAUUUAAUGCCAUAUUAUUUAAUUCUUUAAUUUAUGUGCUUUAUGUUUGAGUGUCAAAUUUAAAAUUUAUCUCAGCUUAAUUGUAUGUAUAAACUCAAUUUGGACCACUAAUCAUUAUACAAUAACGCAUACAAAGUUUUCGAACCUUUAGAAAAUCUUUGAUGAUCUUUCAUUUAAACACAAACCAGUUUAGUGGUAAUAAAUUGCAAGGACCAUCAACAUUUACCAAUGAUUGGACUCUUUUUCAGUCAAUUUAAGUGAUACUAGUAAAUUGCAAGGAGCAUUACCUAAAUCCUUGAUCAAUUGUCAAAGUCAUAUAAUUGUGUCUUUCACAAAUUUAUAAAUGACUUUUCCAUAUAACAUUCAUUAGGACUAGUAAUCUAAAAUACUUUGAAUUAAAUAUACUAUAUUUAUAAAGAAUUCAAUAUAUUCAUUUUAAAUGUUAAGUAGGAUGUGUUAGCGUGUAUUUACAUGACAUUGUUUUAUAUUUAAAGAUUCAUAGGUUAGGGUGAUAAGUAAUAUUUUCCAUAUAAGUUUCAAUCUAGAAUUAAACUAACUUUGUGUGAUGAUUUGAAUAUUUGUAGGAGUUAUUCCACAAGAGAUACAUCAUCUUCAUAAUUUAAGAGUGUUGGACUUGAGUUUGAACAAGUUGUCAGGCACUUUGCCACCAACCAUUUUCAACAUGUCUUCCUUGGUAUGGAUUGACUUAUCAAGUAACACACUUAGCGGGGCAUUGCCUUCAAUAAUUGGGAACAAGAAAGCAGUACUAGAGUUUUUAUACCUUGAAAACAAUGCUUUAACCGGUAAGAUUUCUAACUCUUGUAGGGUUUUACACAUAUUCAAAUGUUUCUUAAUUUUCAUGUAUAUUUAGCGUUUACAGCCAUUGUGAGACCUUUAACUUCUUCUCAAAUCUAUAUUUGACUUUUCCAUAUAGCAUUUACAGCUAUGUCCUUCUCAAAUCUAUAUUGUUCUUUGUCUUCCAUUGAUUAGUGGAAUAAAUAUCAUUGUACUUAAAUAGCUCAAAAUUUCCCAUCCGAUCAAAUCAUGUAUUUUUACCUAUUAUUGUUAUGAUCGUUAUACUUAACAAUAUGGAACUUGACUUUGAUGACUUCAUUAUUCUCCAGGUACUAUUCCGAAAGAGAUUGGAAAUCUUCAUAAUUUAUGGUUCAUGUGGUUGGGUUCCAACGAACUUAGCGGAUCAAUCCCGAGAGAAGUGGGGAACAUGACAGCUCUUUCUGACUUACGGCUCGACAAUAAUAGUUUAAGUGGUAUUAGAACUCUUUUAGCGAGUUAAUUUCUUUUUUUGGGGAUUCCCACAAACUUAGUGGAGCUUUAAUUGUACCCACAAAUUUGGAAUAUUAGAACUCUUUGUCGCUCACACCUUUUUAACAUUUAUUUAACUUUUCCGCCAGGUACUAUUCCUAAAGAGAUUGGAAAUCUUCGUAAUUUACACUACUUAAGUUUGUCUUGACUAUUUAUGGCUCCACAAUAAUACUUUAAGUGGUAUGAUUUAUUAUUUAGCUAGCCACAAGUUUAGGUAAAAGAUAAUAUUGUUUGUUAAAUUAAAUAGAUGCAAAGUAAAAGAUAUUUGAUAGGUUUUGGAGAGCUUUUAUUCAGGUAAUUAAAAGAUAGUAAUAGAUUGUUUUAUUACUUCGCAAAUUCAUUUCUAAAGAAAAUUAUUUUCACCUUUAAGAGUCUCGUUUCUUUUCCAACAUUCGACACAAAAGUAUUUUUCCUUUCUUAUUUUCACUUCAAUGAUGGAUAAUAUUAGAAGGAUAAUAUUAUCCAUCAUUGAAGUGAAAAUAAGAAAGGAAAAAUACUUUUGUGUCAAAUGUUAGAAAAGAAAUGAGACAUUUGAAAGCAUAAAUUUUUGUUUCUUUUCAAUUGGAACCAUCUUCAGCACUCGUCUCUUUAUCCUAAAAGAUGGAAGCACUAAAUCUUUUAUUCCUUGGAAACAAUGACUUUGACUCUAGGACGCAAACAUUAAAAGGUUCAUAAAUUAGGGUGAUAAGUAAUAUUUUCCCUAUACGUCUCAAUCUAGAAUUAGACUAACUCUUUGUGAUGAUUUGGAUAUUUGUAGGAGUUAUUCCACAAGAGAUACAUCAUCUUCAUAAUUUAACAGUGUUGGACUUGAGUUCGAACAAGUUGUCAGGCACUUUGCCACCAACCAUUUUCAACAUGUCUUCCUUGACAUGGAUUGACUUAUCAAGUAACACACUUAGCGGGGCAUUGCCUUCAGAAAUUGGGAACAAGAAAGCAGUACUAGAGUUUUUAUACCUUCAAAACAAUGCUUUAACCGGUAAGAUUUCUAACUCUUGUAGAGUUUUACACAUAUUCAAAUGUUUCUUAAUUUUCAUGUAUAUUUAGCAUUUACAGCCAUUGUGAGACCUUUAACUUCUUCUCAAAUCUAUAUUUGACUUUUCCAUAUAGCAUUUACAGCUAUGUUCUUCUCAAAUCUAUAUUGUUCUUUGUCUUCCAUUGAUUAGUGGAAUAAAUAUCAUUAUACUUAAAUAGUAUACAGCUCAAUCUCCCAACCGAUCGAAUCACGUAUUUUACUUAUUAUUCUCAAUUAUGAUUGUUAUACUUAACAAUAUGGAACUUGACUUUGAUCACUUCAUUAUUCUCCAGGUACUAUUCCAUCCUCCAUCUGUAACUUGACAUCUCUUGGAUUUCUUGUUCUCUCAAAUAACACCUUGGAAGGAACAAUUCCACAAUGCUUUGGAAAUUUGAGCAAAUCUUUGCUCAUUUUUCAUUUAAAUGUGAAUCAGUUUAGUGGUCUCAUUCCAUCAUCAUUUAGCAAGGGAUGUGGCCUUGUGUCCAUCAAUUUGAAUGGUAAUAAAUUGCAAGGACCAUUACCUAAAUCCUUGAUCAAUUGCCAAAGACUACGAGACCUCGACGUCGGAAAUAAUAGAAUACAAGACGAAUUUCCCUUUUGGAUGGAAGUCCUUCCAGACCUUCAAGUGCUGGUCUUGAGGGCUAACAAGUUUUAUGGUAACAUGUCACUUCCUUCGCAAACCAAGAUUCCAUUUCAUAAUUUGCAAGUUUUAGAUAUAUCUCAGAAUAGAUUUGUGGGCUCUCUGCCUCAAGGAUAUUUCAAGAAUUUCAGAGCAAUGAUAGAGGUAAAUGAAACAAACUUGUCAACUAACGACACCUUCUUUAAAGAUUAUGUGGAGAUGAGGCUCACCUUGAAAGGUCUGGAUCAAUUAUUACAGAGAUUGUUGUCAGCCUUUACAACAAUCGACUUAUCCUCCAAUAGAUUUUCUGGGAGUAUUCCACAUUCCAUAGGAAAUCUUAAGAUUCUCAAAUACUUGAAUCUGUCCCACAAUAACCUCAUAGGAAAUAUCCCUUCAUCUCUUGGAAAUUUGAGUGAACUUGAAUCUUUAGACUUGUCGGUGAACAAGUUGGAUGGAGAAAUUCCAAGUGAAUUGACAGGGUUGACAUUUCUUGCGAAAUUAAACCUUUCAAUGAAUAAUUUUGUGGGACAAAUACCACAGUCUAAGCAGUUUUCCACAUUUGAGAAUGAUUCAUACGUGGGAAACUUGAGACUGUGUGGAGUUCCGUUGACGAGAAAAUGCAACGACGAGAAUGGGCAUGAGAUGAAGCCACAAGAAGAUGAUGAUGAAGAAGAUGAGUUUGGAUUUAUAGAUGGAUUUGGAUGGAGAAGUGUGGUGAUGGGAUAUGGAAGUGGAUUCAUAGUUGGAAUUGGAAUUGGUUACAUUAUCAUUAGAAAUGGAAGGCCAAGAUGGUUAGUGGAAUUCUUUUUUGGCAUUGGAUAUAAUAAUAAUAAUAAUAAGAAGAAGAAGAAGAAGAAGAGACGCAGCAGAGCUACACCAACACCACCAACACGCAGGAGAACUUAAUUGAAGGCUUGUGCUCGAAUUGUGUUUUCUUUUUCUUAUUUCCUUUGUAAUGGCUACGUUAGUGUGUUUUUAGAGUUUACGAAAUGUUGUUGUUUGUUCAAAUAUGUGAAGUUUUAAUUUUAUCUCGUUUAGGUAAUUUUUUGGAUAAACUAAAACAGUUUUGUGAUUUUAUUUGUUAAAUAUUUAGAUUAUUAAAAAUGUCAUCCUCUUAGUGACAUAGAACUGCUUGCUGGAUUUCUUCGAGCAAAAAUACUACACAUGAAUCUAGUUGGAACAGAUUCUGUUAAGCCUAUGAACAGAUCCUCAAAAUCAUCAAAUUGAUUUGGAGAAAUGAUCGUUUGUUUACUUAUAAAUCGUUGGUUUGUAUUGGCUGCUUAAUUUAUAAAUAAUGUUUUAUACAAUUUUUUUGGCUCUUGUUUUAUUAAUUAACUAAUUUAAUUUAAUAAUCUACAAAAUAUCUUACUUCUUAUUCUAUAUAAAAAUAGAAAAAAAGUGUAAUUAAAUAAAAAAAAUAGUCAUAGAAAGGUGUAGUGAAUUUAAUUUUAUACAGCCAAUGAAAAUAGACUACAACGUAAAUAUGCAACACAAAUGAUGUUGAGAGCAUAUUGCAGGAGUCUCUUGUUGAAUUAAGUAAUCAAAUAGUAAUAAAAUAAUAAUUACUCAAAAUAGAAAACACAACUUAUACAGAAGGGUUGCUAUAUCAUGUGACAUUUUAUCGAACAGUUGGAGCACUUAUCUGCAUACAAGAUUCUGCUGGGCAUUUUCUCGAACAGUUGGAGCGCCUCUUUGUUGGCCGAUAUGAACUAGAUUCUCACGUCCCCGCUUAGAGGUUAUAAAUUGAUACUCCCUCUGUCUUAGCUUUUAAUAUCUAUAUUUUCAUUUUAGUCCGUCAUUUUUUUUUAUUCAUUUCUAUUUUUGGUAAAAGUAUGUGACACCCUUACUCCACUUUAAUUACUUUAACACUCGCAUAAAAGGUAAGACCUUUAUUCCACUCGUAACACACUUAACCUCUUUAUUAAAACUUGUGUCACUUUCAAAUGGAUACUAAAAAUUGGGAAGGAGAGACUAUAUUUUUAUCAUCUUUAAGCAAAAGUCAAAUUGAGUUUGAACACGAAUUAUUUAACUAUGUUAACAUUUAUUGAAACAAGAAAAAUUAAUUAUUCACAUAUCCGAGCAUAUUACACAUUUUUUAAGUGUAAUUUAUCAAUCAUGUUAUAUGUAAUUCGCAUGCUAUUACAAAUGAUUCAAUGAAUAUAGAUAGAAAUGAAUAUAGAUAGAUAAAUCAUAAAUUUAUCCAGUAUAUACACCGAAAAUAGCGCCAACAUGUUUUCAUGAGCAUAAAAAAUAAAAAGAUAAUUAUGAAAUUCACACAUUGUCAUGUAAAUAUAUGAUAUAAGCACUGAAUGUAGUAUCCAAUCCUCGAUCUCAAUUCAAUAUGUCAUGUUUUCUUAUUUGUACGUUCCAUUUCAAUAAAUUAUUUCUUAAAAUGAAAUAUCAAUACAUUACAAACACAUUCACCUUUACACCAAGUAACAUUAUAUUAUAUCCCACAAAUAAGUACCCCUUCCGUCCCAAUAGUAGUCAGUGGCGGAUCCAGGGGGGGCUUCAGCCCCCUCCCAAUUUUUGAGUUUUUUUUUUUUAUUAUAGAUAUAUAUAUUUAUUAUUUUGUUUUAUAUCUAUAUAUAUGUGUAUAUAAAUAAAAAAUACAAGAAAAAAUAUAGUAAUACAUUAUUUAUAGUAUCCAACUAUCCAUAUUAAUUGCUCAACACAUUGAGUUGUUACAUUUAUAGUAUUAUUUUUAUCAUUUUUUCUUUCUUAGUUAAUUUUUAAUGUUAAAUUUGAGUCAAUUCUAAAGGUAAAAGUAAAAUUACUAAUUACUAACAAUGAAAAUUACUCCCUCCGUCCCUGAAAUGGCUUCCUCUUUGGGGACGGCACGGGUUUUAAUAAAAAGUUGUAAAGUGUAUUGAUAGUGAAGAAAAAGUGAUAUAAUUAUUAUUGGAAGUUGUGAAAAGUGUUAUACUCCCUCCGUCCCGCUAAAGUUGGCAACAUUCGUUUCGGCACGGAGAUUAAGAAAUUGAGUGUUAUAUGUUUUAAUAAAGUGUGGUCUACAAUUGUUGACCAAAUUAGUGAGUAAUUGUUGACUUAAUUAAAGUAAUUUUGACAUUUUUAGAAAGUGGCCUACAAUUGUUGACCAAAUUAGUGAGUAAUUGUUGACUUAAUUAAAGUAAACUUUUGCCAUUUUUAGAAAGUGGCCAACUUUAGUGGGACACCCAAAAUAGAAAUGUUGCCAACUUUAAUGGGACGGAGGGAGUAAUUAGUAUUGAGAGUGGUGAAAAGUGAAAAGUAAGAAUAAAUAAAGUAUUAUUAGUGGUGGGGUAGGUUUCCAAAAAUGGAAAAAAAGAAAGAGGAAGUUAUUUGGGGGACGUCCCAAAAUGGAAAAAGAGGAAGUUAUUUUAGGGACGGAGGGAGUAGUUUAUUUGUUUAGAAGAUGAAACAAUUUUUUUUUAAGAAAAAUGAAUAAAAGUACGUUUUUAUAUGCUUUCAAUCUACUUGAUGUUGAAUUAAUUGAAUUGCGAACAAUUAUCUUAUUAUAUUAAGUGAUUGUUGAAAAAAUGUAUGAAAAUGAAGUGUACGGAAUGCUCAAAAAAAUUUACUUCGGGGGCUCCCGCCCCCGAACCCCCGUGUAAAUAUUUUCAAGCACCGUAGUCCAAUAGAUUCAGCCCCCCCCCCUAACAUUGAAUCCUGGAUCCGCCCCUGAUAGUAGUGUCCCACUUCACCUUUCCACUUUCUUUUUUGGCAAUAUAGUCUAUCUCUAUAUUAUUUAAAUAAUUUUCAUCAAUCCACUUUAUCUACUUUUUACACAUUCCUUAAUCUAUAUGUCCAAAAGUAACGGGACACUACUAAUGGGACAGAGGGAGUAGUAUUUUUAUAUAUUUCUAAAUUCUUUGAUAAAUACAUCUUUAAAAAAAUUAUUAUAAGCUAUUUAUUUUUAAUAUUUUAAUUUGUAAACUCAAUUUUCUCUCUUUUAGUUCAUUAUAAACUAUUUAUUUUUUAAUAUCUGUAUUCAUAUUGAAGUGUUGCAUGACAUUUCUUAAACUCGUGCCACAUUUUGGUUCAUAUUUCUAUUUUUAGUAAAAGUAGGUGAGACUAUUGCUAAAUGAUAAACAUGCAUUUUUACCUCUUGGAGUGUCAUUUUUGAUGCUAAGUUGUGAGGAUUUUGUGUGUUUGAUGGUCUAUUUGAGCUUAUAUUCGUUUAUGGUCAAGAACUUGUUACUUGCUUGUGUUUGAACGAAUUUUCAGAAAUAAUGAAGCAGAAUAUGGAAGAAUUGGCUGAAAUACAAGUUGUAGUUCGUCUCGAUAGGAGUUCGUGAGCGCAAACGGAUCAUAAAUCGGAGUUCGGACGAGAAAGAACGAGCCAAAACAAAAUCGUUGCGCAAAGCUAUCAGGAGUUCUGUUUCGUCGCGCGGUCCAGGCUCGCGGCCGCGCGACGUGGCCGCGCGAGUCUCCGUAUUUCCGCCCAAAAUUCGUUUUUUUGCCAUUUUGGGUAUUUUUGAGAGCUACAAGACCUAGGGCAUAUAAAUACUCCCCAAGAACUUAUUCUCUGCACAUUUUAUCAUCUUUUAUCAUAUUUUACUUUUCCUGAGAGCUGAGAGAGACGGAGAACGGAGCAAGAGCAAGAUUGAAGAUUCUCAACUAUACUACGGUUUUAUUGUUGAAUGAUUAUUUGUAUUUUUGAGAAUUGUAUUCUAGUUCAUAUGUCUAUGUGUGGCUAGAAUCCCUUUUUCCCAGGGUUUAGGGAGUAGACAUGAUUUGAAUUUCUGACUGUUUGAUUCGAUUAAUUGAGAUUGUUAUUCCUUUUUAUGUUCUUGUUAUAAUUGUUUGCUUUAUUGAUUGGCCACCAAUUUAGCAUAAUCAUAGGUUUUAAUUUGAGAUCGGGAGAUGAUAAUUAUUACCUGAACUAAGAACAUAGAACACAUAUAUUUAAUUCUAAAGGGAAUUGAUAUUUGUGAGGGCGUUAAUCCUAUGAGCUUUUAGGAGUUGCAUGUUAGAAGUGCGAUCCGGGGACGGUAGCCUUGCAUGUAAUCAACGGUUUGUAUGCCACGGGAGUGGGUAUAGACUAGUUUUGAGAUUGCCUUAGGAAUCAUCUUAUUAUUUGAAUUGAACAUGUUAGUUAGGAGAAUCUGUUGAAACUUUUGCCUUGGGAAAUCUUCUCUUAUCUGUUUCUCUGUUUCACAGCUUGCUUUAUUUUCUUUCUUGCUGUUUAUUUAUUUUGUUCUUUACUACAAAAACUCUCAUUUUCGUUUGUCCAGAUAGAGUAGAAUAAUUUAGGAUAGGCAUUGAUAAUAAUUAGUCUCUGUGGAAUACGACCUUGCUUGCUACUGUACACAAUUGCAUCCGUACACUUGCGGCGUGUUAAUAAAAUAGCGAACACUAAACUUUAAUUAUUUUAACACUUAGGACAUUUAUUCUACUCACAACACCCAAUCACUUUAUUAAAAUUCGUGUUACUCUCAAAUAGAUACUAAAAGUUGGAACGAAAAGAGUACUAAAUUUAUAGUAAAAAUUUGUGUAUUUCGAUCCACAUGGUAUCUCAUAGUCAAACUAAUUGCAUAAAGACAAAUUUAUUGCGGCUUUAGUUUAAAAUUCCGAAAUUCUACACAAAAUUGUUUAAUAAUUUUUCCAAAAUUCACUAUGAAUAAGGGUUUAUUAAAUUCUUUAUUUUAAUAAUAAUAAUAAUAAUAAUAAUAAUAAUAAUAAUAAUAAUAAUAUGAUACGAUCCGUAUCAAUGGUGAAGCUUUUCGAGCAAGCUCAAACUCCAGAAAUCAAGAGAGAAGAAAGAAGUUUGAUAACUAACAACCAAAAUAUUCAUUCAUACUCAAUAAACUUGGAGAUUACAUCAUUUAUACCUAAUAAUAAAAACCUAAUGGGCUAAUGGGCUAGAACAUAAUAGGGCCAAGCUAGGGGAUGGGCUGGGUGUAUCAUUCCCCACUCCUUCACAAUCACCUUGUCCUCAAGGUGAAGUUGUAAAGAAAAAAAUGGCUAUGGGAGAUGAUUUGGCCCGUUAAUUGCAAAAACAAAACUAAAUAGAGCCAAAAUACACUGCUCGACUCAUGCUUGAUAAAAGCUCCGACUGAAAAUCAACUAAGAAGCUUGAUAAAACUACGACCAACAUGUGCUCGACAAAAGUCUCAGCUGAAAACCUGCAGAAAAUUAAUCCGAGCAAACUCAAAACUGAUGCACAUCAGCUGGGCGUGCCCACGAGAUCCGGGCGGCGGUUCGCCACAUAGCUGGACUUCUUGAUCAAGUCCACGAUCCUUCUCCUUGACGUCGACGGCGUGAUGUGGCGCGGUUAAUAGCAGAGACAAGCCUUGAGGCCGUGGAAGAACCCCAAUUUUUUGAUCUCGGAGGAAGCGAGCACUUGGGCUGUGGGCAGCCACAAUCAAAGCUUUAGGGCCACUCAUAUUGGGCCCAAAUAUAUUGAUUGGGUUGGGCUCUUCAUUCUUAGACUUGGGCCCAAUAGAAAUCUCAAACAACCAAUUCAAUGGGUAAUGAUAAACCCUCGCCCGCUGUAGAAUAAUUGAGAUUGUCGGCAACGUCGGCGGCGGGGGUACACCCUCAAUAAUCUCAUCGUCAACUGCCGAAAUAGGAUUGCUCGGUGGAUCAAGGUCAUCUUCUCCAUAACCCAGAAGGAGUAUUUUUUUGUUGCGGCAGCGGUGGGUCGGAGACGGUGGUGACUGACUAGGUGGGGUGGGCGUUGGUGGGGGAUUUCUCGAAGGAGUUAUUGGUGGCGGUGGUUGUGGUGGCGGCGGCGAUGGUGGUGGUGUUGCAGGGGAAGACGGUACGUUUGGGGGUGGCUCGGUGGGAGGAGGUGGUAUGGGGCAGUGGGGAUGUUGACGGCGGCGGAGGCUGGAGAUCUAUCUGUGAUAGCGGAGAUGGUGGUUCGAGUCCUGUGAAAGGAUGGGGCGAUGAGAAUGGCUGUGCAGAGGCGCAAAUGCUUGAGAUAUCCUUCACUUUAACUUCAACUCCACCCAUGGAAUAAGGAGACUUGGGAUCUCCAAAGUCAUCCUCAUCAUCGGUGCCUAAAAGAAUCAAAUAUUUGCUGCGGCAUCGGUGGGUAUCGGACCAAGUUUGGUCACAAUUGUAACACAACCCGAGGUCGUUUUUAGCUUCGAUUUCAGAUCGGCUUAGACGGCGAAUGGGAAGAUGUGAUGUGGAGUGAGUUGUAUGUAAGAUUGGGGGAAACGAUGGUGGUGGAUAGGGAGCUGGAGUAAUGGGUGGUGGGGAAGGUGAUGGUGGUGGCGGAGAGUGGACUGGUGGCGGCGGAGACUGGGUGGGUGGCGGCGGGGAGUGGACUGGUGGUGGUGGGGAGUGGACGGGUGGCGGAGGAGAGUGCACUGGUGGAGGAGGGGAGUGGACGGGUGGCGGCGGAGAGUGCACUGGCGGGGGAGGGGAGUACACCGGUGGUGGAGGGGAGUGAACGGGUGGUGGGAAAGGAGAUGAAAACAGGGAGGAAUUUGGAGCCGCCUGAAAAUAGGCAUCGAAGGAGGUUGGCCAACUGUAGAUGGCGGUGUGAAGCUCUUCAAUGGCGGCACAGAUUUCAGAUCUUGACAUCUUUUUUUUUUUUUUUUGGAUAUUCAAAGAGAGAUACUCUCAAUGAAAGCACCAAUUGAUACGAUCCGUAUCAAUGGUGAAGCUUUUCGAGCAAGCUCAAACUCCAGAAAUCAAGAGAGAAGAAAGAAGUUUGAUAACUAACAACCAAAAUAUUCAUUCAUACUCAAUAAACUUGGAGAUUACAUCAUUUAUACCUAAUAAUAAAAACCUAAUGGGCUAAUGGGCUAGAACAUAAUAGGGCCAAGCUAGGGGAUGGGCUGGGUGUAUCAUAAUAAUAAUGGCAUACUCAAAAAUUAGAUUCAGCAAUUGUACUUGGCACCUAAUCCGAUCAGUUCUUUGCCCCAAAUUGUAGCAAGUGGGCCCCGCAACUUAACGCGCUAUAUAUACGCACCAAAGAUUUCAGCGUCGAAUUAGAAAAAAAGAAAAUCUAAAAAGGUUCGUUACUGUCGUAGCUGCCUGUCUCUCUACGAGCUUCUGCUUUCUCUCUCUACCUCCUUUUUCUUCUCUUUCACACUCUUUCUCUCUCUUCGAUCUCCCCCGAUCGAUGAAUGCAGGUUAGCUUCUCUGCUUAGCUCGUACCUCUCUGCUUGAAUUGUUCCGGAAGCUAUGUAAUUCUGUUUGAUUUGGGGGUAGCGGAGAAUUUUGAAUAAACCCUAAUUUCUCACUUUGCUCAAUUAUGGCUUUUGAGCUUGUGAAUGGGAGGUUGAAGUGUUUUGAUGUGUGGUUUAUGUAUUAAUUCACUCUUUGGUGUGGUAUUUGUUUGCUAAUUUUGAUAGUUUACCGUUAAAUACUCAUUCUUCUUGGAGUUCUUAGGUAUUAGUGGUUAGUAAUGUGUUUGAUUGGUCUCUUUUCUUUAUUAUAUGGCUUUUGGUAACUUAAUUGGGUUAAUCGUUGUUGAAAUUACUUAACUUUUUGUUUAUCACUGAAGAAGAAGAUUGCAUUUUGCAUUCUUGUGUAGCGAACUGUUGGAUUUUGUUUUGUGUAAUUAGUUAACUGUAUAUACCUGUGAUUUAUGAAGUCUCUAGAAUGCUUUUCAGUGGUUGAAUAUCUUGCAUUUCUGCUGUUUAUAAGAAGAUUGCAUUUUGCAGUGUUCUGUAGCUAAUAGCGAACUGUUGGAACUCUGUUUUGUGUAAUCAGUUAACUAAGUAGAAGUUUUAGAAGGCUGUCUAGUGGUUGAAUAUCUUUUGUUCUGCAAUUUUUGAUGAAAUUGUUUUUAUUGUCUUUUUAAGUCUUAUUACUUCUCUCUGAGUUUCGUCACUGUGGCUGGUGGAUUACAUUAGUCCGCGCAUUCGUGCUCUUUUUUUGUUGAUUAUUGCAUCAUAGUGUGAUUUGGUUUUUGCUGGUGCUCUUGAUGACUUUUUUAUUUGGUUUGAUGACUUGAGAUGCCCAUUCGACCCUCCACUGCAUCUUCAACUUCAAUUACCUGAAAUAUUUGUAAAGUAUGGGAUGAGCAUGCACAGUAUACUCAGUGUGGGAUAUCAUGCAAUAAUUGUCCAAGUUAAUAAAACGAUAACACAUACGAUAUUAACAUUUAUAACAUUUACUCGCACGGUGGCAUACCAAGGACCUUUCCGUCCUGGACCUAUUCAACGGGCCCCUGGCUAUUAUGGUUGCAACCUUAACUUUUACAUUUAAAUCGUAUUGUGGCAUACCAAAGACCUUUCCGGCCUGGACCCAUUCAACGGGCCCCUAACGAUAUAUAAUUUAACUCGUAUACGGUAAACACAUAAUAUUAAAAUGACCACAACAUGUAUUAAAAUAAAAUCUCACACUGAAAAUUUUGUACUUGAUUAAUAACUUGAGUAAUUCACAUCAACAGUUACGUUCUAGUCACGCCGUACCUAGUCAGAUAAAUUCAGAUAAUAGAUGUAAUCAAGCUUUUUUUUUAAGAUAAUUUAAAUAAUUUUAAGAAUUGUUCUAUAGCACUAACCCAAAGUCAUGAGCCUAAUAAAUAAAUAAAAUACUAAAAUAUGUAUACUUUCUUGUGGAACUUAGCUCAAAAUUUUUAACUAAUAAAGCAUGUUUCAAUACUUAAAUAUAUAAAAGUAGAUUUGAGCCCAUUUAUGCCAAAAAUCAAGUUCACUAUUUAAAGUCCAAGAAAAGAAAGUGUUCAGCCCAAUUAUAGAAGCCCAUAUUAAAUAUCCCUAAGCCCAAAACUCAUUUCAAUUUAGUAGAUUGUUAGUUAUGCUUUCUUUGUUCAAUUUAAUUAUGUUUUAUUUCGAUAACAUAGCAAAUUUAUUAAUUCAGUGAGUAUAAUGAAACACUAGUCUAAAAUAUGUGACCUAAUUGUUUUAUUGAUUGAUACAAUUGGAUGAAUUAUUUACAUCUCAAUGAGAAGAAGCUUUUAGUUUAAGAAGGGAUAUUCGUGCUUAUAAUAGAAUAUUGUCAUUUACUUCGUUCAGUGUAAAAUUGGAUAAAGAACUCGCAUCUGUAAGACGAAGAGUUUAUUCUUUAAUAUAUGAUCUUCCUGAAUUGAUCCCACAAUAUACAUGUAUUUUCAACUAUACUUUUAUGACGCACAAAGUGAGGUUGAGAACUGAAUUAACAUAAGAUGCACGUUUUAGAGUUCAACCCGUAUGAAAAAUUCUUACAAAUUAAUUUAUGUAAGAAUUUACCGGUGUUUUUGAUAAAAUUAUGUUAAUUAAUUUACUGGUGUUUCUGAUAAAAUUAUUUAAAUUUGAAUAAAUUUCCUCAUUACCAAGAGCUUAUUAUUAUUAUUAUUAUUAUUAUUAUUAUUAUUAUUAUUAUUAUUAUUAUUAUCUAUAUACUAAUAGAAAAGAGCCUAAGCAUUCUAUGGGACAACUUGCGGAUUGUCUAUUUUACCCCUAUUAUUUAUUUUGUAUUAUAUAUUUAUAAAAUAAAUCUAUUUGAUAUAUAUUUAUUUGCCACCCAAAUUUAUAAAUAAUAUUUUAUAUUAUAAAACCAAAUAUAUACAUAAAACCGUUGUCAAAUUAAUUAGAUCAAAAAUUUCUUCUCUACUUAGGUCCAAUAUUUGUUUCCCUCAUCUAAUCUAAUUUCUAAAUAAAUCCCUAAUAUAAUUGGUAAUUAUACAUCACAAUUCGUUUUUCCCUAAAAGAAGUUCAUUUAAACCAACGAUCAAGGAGAUUCCAAAAUCUUAUCGCAUUAGAAUUCUAUUUAAUUUAUUACAUAUUUUAUUUUAAGGUUUUUUUACAGUAUUAUAUAUUUAUAAGAAUAUAUUAUUCAUUAGAUAGUACACUAAAUCUAUGUGAUAUAUAUCUAUAGCUAUUGAUAAGGCUAUAAAUAAAUAUAUUCAUCCAAUAAAUUAUGUAAUGAAAGUAAUAAAUUAAUAGAUUUUCUAAAAUAAUAGAUUAUUAAAUAAAAUAACAUUAAUUACACGUACAACGUACGUUCUUUCUGCUAGUUACUCAAAAUGACUCGAAUAUUCAAAUUGCAACAAUUGCUCUAUUUCAGGGGGCAAUUGCGUAGAGCUUGGUUUUAGAUUGCGAAGUGUGAAUUACCCUUUAUUAUAUCUUAUUCAAAGAUCACAAAAAGGGGGAUUUAAAGUCUCCCAAAUCUAUUAUAAAAAUAGAGAAUAUCUUCUACUUUUGCAUGUUAUUCUACCACUUCAAAUAAACAAACAGGUUUUGUUGUUUAUUCAACUGACGUAGCCCUCUGAUCACGGCCAAAACUUAUAAUGCUAUUUAAUAUGAAUAUUAGGGUCAUUUUUUAAGAUUUGGGUUAGACUCAAUCUCCCAAAUCGAACAGAAAGUAGCUUUCCAUAUAAAUAGUCUUAGUUGCUUUUGCCUCCAAAAAUCACUCUUUAUAGUUCCACAAUUAUUUUCUUCGUCUUUUCCUCAUUCACACUCCAAUUAAUUAUUUUCUCCGUCUUCGUCGCUCCAAUGGGAAAAUAUUAUUUUAGCUUUGAAUAAAAGGAAACUCUGCAUUUCCUACUUUCAUCAUUAAUCCUUCCCAUUUGCCCAUCAUAUCCACACACACUCUAUAUAUACAUGUAUAUGGAUUUCAUAGUUCAAUAUUCUAAAAAAUUACUACUGUCAAAAUCAAGCCAAAAAAUGCAAAAAUCUCCCCAUUUUCUCAUCCUUGCACUACUCUUACCAAUCCAUUAUUUGAUGGAUUAUAGUUCAGCCAAAAACGAUAUCAACACCGAUCGUUCUUCACUUCUCGCCUUAAAAUCCCAAAUCACUUUAGAUCCUCAAAAUAUAUUGACCCAAAAUUGGAGCACUGAAGCCAGUGUUUGCAGUUGGAUCGGAGUUACUUGUGAUUCACGUUACAAUAGGGUUACUCAGUUGAAUAUAUCGUACAUGGGUCUUGUCGGAACCCUCCCACCAGAAAUUGGGAAUCUUUCUUCUCUCGUUUCUUUAGAAGUGAACGAGAACUCCUUUCAUGGCCCCAUUCCCCCAUCUAUCUUCAACAUGUCAUUUCUAGAAGUUUUGGAACUAAGGAAUAAUAGUUUGUCUAGUAGUUUACCUCUUGAUAUGUGCAAACACAAUCUGCAUAGACUCAAGAGGCUUCGUUUGUCUUACAACGAGUUGUAUGGGGAAAUACCAUCGAGUUUGGGGCAGUGUUCACAGCUUGAGUAUCUUUCUUUGGGCAACAACAAUUUCACUGGAUUUGUGCCG
rnacentral:lncRNA from 1 species